rnacentral:rRNA from 1 species
UACAGAGGUCUCAAGCGUUGUUCGGAUUCAUUGGGCGUAAAGGGUGCGUAGGUGGCGCCGUAAGUCGGGUGUGAAAUUUCGGAGCUUAACUCCGAAACUGCAUUCGAUACUGCGGUGCUUGAGGACUGGAGAGGAGACUGGAAAUUCAUGGUGUAGCAGUGAAAUGCGUAGAGAUCAUGAGGAAGACCAGUGGCGAAGGCGGGUCUCUGGACGACUCCUGACACUGAGGCACGAAAGCCGGGGGAGCAAACAGG